ensembl:processed_transcript Gm15927 predicted gene 15927
GGUUGUCGGAGCAUCCUUCCUUUGCCUGUCUAGGUUGUUAUCUGAUCCUCGUAGUCGUUCCCCAAGUGCGUCGGCUUGGUAUAUCUUUAAAACUCAGUGCUUUCUAAAGGAUGAAGAAGGAAAGAAGGAAUCAGGAACAUCGCAGAAGCGACUGAGAAACAGUUAGCAGACUGGGACCUCUCCUGUAGUUGCAAGGACUCUAGCUGCAGAGGAAACUGAGCUUUGCCCUACCUCGGUUACAUCUGUAAUGGCUACUCACUAGAGUUCUGUUUCGCUUCUUAAGGAGUAAACUUCCCUGACCACCCUUGCCGAGUGCUUAGGUGAGCCUCUGGUUUAAUUUUGUUCGACUCCUGCUGUUUUUACACUUUACUUGAGUCUCACUCUCUGGAUUUCUCGGUGUUUAGUAUCCAUAAAGCACUCCAUAACCUUGUAGGUUGAAAACGUGAGCAUCACGUUUUCAUGAAUUGGGGAAACUCGAUCUAUCUCUGCCUGCUAGGUGGAAGAAGAUAAAUCCACACUUGAAGAGAACGUGCACAUGCAUUUCACCGCAUCAGAAUGGCAUGAAGCAAUAGACGGGCUUAUAAAAAAGCAUAUUCUUCGAUUGGAAAGAUGGCACAGCAGUUAAGAACAUUUUCCUGCAGAGGACCAGUUCCCACAGGGUGGCUUGCAUGCUUGUAACUCCAGUUCCAGAUCUGACUCUUUCAUCUGCGGGUGCACUUAAGCUCACACUUAAGCUCACUCAUUUUUAAAUGCAUAUUCUUAGGGUAACAUAGACUUAAGCAAGUGAAACCUAGGGACCAGUGUUUGUCCAGAUUUUUUAAACAGCUUCUAUACUCUUUUGAGUUUGCUAUUCAUUCAUAGCUUUGCUAUUUCGUGCGGGCCCUGAGAAUGUGGAACUGCUUCUAGCUCUAUCAGGAAUCCCUGCCAAAUUAUUAAGAUGCAGCUUCUUAUCUAUGUGGUCCCCAAUUCUGCUUUUUCUAACAUGCUCCCAGGAUAUUGCCUUAAAAACACAGUUAUGAUUCUCGGGCUUAGCUGCACUUUAGAAUCACCUGGGGAGUUGGUAGAGGUAGAAUCCAGAUACUUAGACUUAUGCUACAACAAUUACAUCAACAUCUGGAGUUGGGAACCGUUAUUCUUUCCCUGAAAAUGAUCCAUGGAAAUUCCUGUUUUUCUUUCCAGCAGAGAGAUUUGAAACCAAGGCUUAACAUGCAAGGGAGGAAGACUACUAUUGAGCUAUUUCCAGUCGAUUUCUUGCCUCUCCUUUUUGACAGAUUUCAUAUAGGACAGGCUGGACUGGACCUAGAGCUUUGAGGCAGAGAAUGACCAUGAACUUCAAGUCUUCCUGCAUUCAUUUCUCAAGUACUGGAUUUCAGGUAUGUGCUUACCACCGUGUGGCUGCUUUUUUUGACCUUUUAAGGAACUGAAACUCACUGUGUAGACUAGGUUGGCCACAGAAUUCACAGAAAUCUGGUCUCUGCCUGGAAAUGCUGGGACUAAAAGUGAGUGCCUCCACACCUCGAAGCCUUUUAAAAACGUUUGAGGCAGGGCCUUGACACUGCUAGGCAAGCACCCUGCUUUGAACUAUAUUCCUGGCCCUUUAAAAACUUGUAUUGUGUAUGUAGUAUAGGUGUUUAGCUUAUGUGUGUCUGCAACACAUGGGCACCUGGUGCCCAAGGAGAUCAGAAAAGGAUGUCAUUCUCUGGGACUAGAGCUAUAGACCAUUGUAGGCUGACAAAUGGGUGCUGGGAAUCAAACCCAGGUCCUCGGGAGGAGCAGCCAUCUGUCUCUCCAGUCAACUCCCCCUAAAGUUCUCUGUGUGUAUAUACAUAUGAAUGCAUUGUGUGCCGGUGCACAUGCAUGUGCUUGUGAAGGCCAAGUCAACCUCAGCAGCUCAUUUCUUGUUGCUGCUGUUUUUGAGGUUGGUUUGCUUUGUUUUAGAUAAGCCACUCAUCAGGACCAUACACACCCCAGGAGGACACCUGUGUCUGCCUUCUCAGCAUUGGAAUGGCAAAUAUAUGCUACCAACUCGUUGCCUUUGUAUGGGUGCCAAGUGGUUUUAUGCUGUUGUCUUGGUUGUGUUUAUUUUGGUUUUGGGGUUUUUCAAGACAGGGUUUCUCUGUGUAGCCCUCAAUGUCCUGGAACUUGCUCUGUAGACCAGAGAUCUGCCUGCUUCUGCCUCCCAAGGUUCCCAUGUUUUUAUGAAAUACACUUUACCAACAGU